rnacentral:rRNA from 1 species
GAUGAACGCUGGCGGCGUGCCUAAUACAUGCAAGUCGAGCGAACAGACGAGGAGCUUGCUCCUCUGACGUUAGCGGCGGACGGGUGAGUAACACGUGGAUAACCUACCUAUAAGACUGGGAUAACUUCGGGAAACCGGAGCUAAUACCGGAUAAUAUAUUGAACCGCAUGGUUCAAUAGUGAAAGACGGUUUUGCUGUCACUUAUAGAUGGAUCCGCGCCGCAUUAGCUAGUUGGUAAGGUAACGGCUUACCAAGGCAACGAUGCGUAGCCGACCUGAGAGGGUGAUCGGCCACACUGGAACUGAGACACGGUCCAGACUCCUACGGGAGGCAGCAGUAGGGAACCUUCCGCAGUGGGCGAAAGCUUGACGGAGCAACGCCGCGUGAGUGAUGAAGGUCUUCGGAUCGUAAAACUCUGUUAUUAGGGAAGAACAAAUGUGUAAGUAACUAUGCACGUCUUGACGGUACCUAAUCAGAAAGCCACGGCUAACUACGU